rnacentral:rRNA from 1 species
CAGCAAUAUGAAGGCCAGGCUGAAGACUUUGCCGGAUUAGCUGAGAGGUGGUGCAUGGCCGUCGUCAGUUCGUACUGUGAAGCAUCCUGUUAAGUCAGGCAACGAGCGAGACCCACGCCCACAGUUGCCAGCGUACUCUCUGGAGUGACGGGUACACUGUGGGGACCGCCGCUGCUAAAGCGGAGGAAGGAAUGGGCAACGGUAGGUCAGUAUGCCCCGAAUAUCCCGGGCUACACGCGAGCUACAAUGGUUGGUACAAUGGGUAUCUACCCCGAAAGGGGACGGGAAUCUCCUAAAACCAAUCUUAGUUCGGAUUGAGGGCUGCAACUCGCCCUCAUGAAGCUGGAAUCCGUAGUAAUCGCGUUUCAACAGAACGCGGUGAAUACGUCCCUGCUCCUU